rnacentral:rRNA from 1 species
AGUGAACGCUGGCGGUAGGCCUAACACAUGCAAGUCGAACGGCAGCACAGUAAGAGCUUGCUCUUACGGGUGGCGAGUGGCGGACGGGUGAGGAAUACAUCGGAAUCUACUUUUUCGUGGGGGAUAACGUAGGGAAACUUACGCUAAUACCGCAUACGACCUACGGGUGAAAGCAGGGGAUCUUCUGACCUUGCGCGAUUGAAUGAGCCGAUGUCGGAUUAGCUAGUUGGCGGGGUAAAGGCCCACCAAGGCGACGAUCCGUAGCUGGUCUGAGAGGAUGAUCAGCCACACUGGAACUGAGACACGGUCCAGACUCCUACGGGAGGCAGCAGUGGGGAAUAUUGGACAAUGGGCGGAAGCCUGAUCCAGCCAUACCGCGUGGGUGAAGAAGGCCUUCGGGUUGUAAAGCCCUUUUGUUGGGAAAGAAAAGCAGCAGGUUAAUACCCCGCUGUUCUGACGGUACCCAAAGAAUAAGCACCGGCUAACUUCGUG